AUGUGUGACAGUUCCGAAUUUGCAUCCGGUCUGUUCGUUCGGUCUGUUCAGUUUGUGACGUCCGAGUGUUUGGAAGUGUCUCUGCAACGAUUUUGGAAAAAAAUUGCACCGUUUGCAAUUUUUGUUGGAACACCAUGACUCGGCGGCGACGAAAGCUUAGACUUCCGGUCCGGUGCCUUUAGGGCACUGGCCAGAACGUCCCAGCUUUGAAGAGAAUCGCAAGCUCAUUUUUGCCAUGAUUUUAUCCCUUCGGACGCCUUGAAAUGAGGCUGUUACAAAAUGGUUGCCCACGGAUGGAUUGAACAUAGGUAAAAUAUGAAUUUGUAAACCAAAUUAGUGUUUAAGUUCGUGUCGAGAAUGGCGAAUAUAAAUGUAUGUGAUGUGUAAUAAAAAAAAUUGAAUGUGUA